rnacentral:rRNA from 1 species
ACAAGUUGACAAGAGCAUCGGGUGGAUGCCUUGGCGUCGGAAGGCGAUGAAAGACGUGGUAAGCUGCGAAAAGCCUCGGGGAGAAGCUAAACAUUCUAUGAUCCGGGGAUUUCUGAAUGGGGAAACCCGGCGGAGGUCAUGCUCCGUCGCGGGUACUUGAAUACAUAAAGUGCCCAGCGCCAACUCAGGGAAGUGAAACAUCUCAGUACCUGAAGGAAAAGAAAUCAAACGAGACUCCCAAAGUAGCGGCGAGCGAAAUGGGAUGAGCCCAAACCGGCUGGAUUCGUUCAGCCGGGGUUGUAGGGCCGGCAUAUGUGAUUCACGAGUAGGCAGGGGAAAUGAGCUGGAAAGCUCUGCCAGAGCGGGUGACAGCCCCGUACCUGAAACCCAAAGCGACACAGCCGGUACCUGAGUACCGCGAGACACGUGGAACCUCGUGGGAAUCCGGGAGGACCAUCUUCCAAGGCUAAGUACUAACCGACGACCGAUAGUGUACCAGUACCGUGAGGGAAAGGUGAAAAGAACCUCUGUUAGAGGAGUGAAAUAGAAUCUGAAACCUGGUGCUUACAAGCUGUGAGAGCGGACUUGUUCCGUGAUCACGUGCCUUUUGCAUAAUGAGUCAGCGAGUUAAUCUGUACUGCAAGGUUAAGCGCAAGUGGAGCCGUAGGGAAACCGAGUCUGACAAGGGCGAUGAGUAGUGCGGAUUAGACCCGAAACCGGGUGAUCUAUCCAUGAGCAGGUUGAAGCAAGGGUAAAACCUUGUGGAGGACCGAACCAAUACCGGCUGAAAACGGUUUGGAUGACUUGUGGAUAGGGGUGAAAGGCCAAUCAAACCCGGUGAUAGCUGGUUCUCCCCGAAAUAUAUUGAGGUAUAGCCUCAUGGAUUGUCUACCGGAGGUAAAGCACUGACAGGGCUAGGGGUCCUACCAGAUUACCAAACCCUAUCAAACUCAGAAUGCCGGUCAGAUGUACCAUGGGAGUCAGACGGCGGGUGCUAAGGUCCGUCGUCGAGAGGGUAAGAGCCCAGAUCAACAGCUAAGGUCUCCAAAUCUAUGCUCAGUGGUUAAGGUGGUGACGUUGUAGAGACACCCAGGACGUUGGCUUAGAAGCAGCCAUCGUUUAAAGAAAGCGUAAUAGCUCACUGGUCUAAUGACGUUGCGCCGAAAAUGUAACGGGGCUAAGCAUAGUACCGAAGCUUUGAAUUCCGCGAAUGCGGUCUGGUAGGGGAGCGUUCUUCACGGGCUGAAGGUGUGUCGUAAGGCAUGCUGGACUGUGGAGAAGUGAUUAUGCUGACAUGAGUAACGAUAAAACGGGUGAAAAACCCGUUCGCCGUAAACCCAAGGUUUUCCGGGUAAAGGUAAUCUUCCCGGAGUUAGUCGGCCCCUAAGGCGAGGCUGAAAGGCGUAGCUGAUGGGAAACGUGUUAAUAUUCACGUACUUGUGUGUUCGCGCGAUGAAGGGACGCAGGAAGAUAGGCAAGCCGGGCGCUGGUUGUCCCGGUGCAAGCGUGUAGGGAUGAGAAGUUGGCAAAUCCGCUUCUCUCUAUCCUGAGACGCGAGUCCGUGACCGAAAGGUCUGAAGUUGUUGAGUCUAUGCUGCCUAGAAAAGCUUCUAAGUAUAGGACACGCAAACCGUACCGGAAACCAACUCAGGUGGGUGGGAUGAAUAAUCCAAGGCGCUCGAGAGAACUCUGGCCAAGGAACUCGGCAAAAUAACCCCGUACCUUCGGAAGAAGGGGUGCUUUUUAGGGUGAAGCGAUUCACUCUGUCGAGCCCUGAAAAGCCGCAGAGAAAUGGUGGUGGCGACUGUUUACUAAAAACAUAGGUCUGUGCCAAGUCGUAUAGACGACGUAUACGGACUGACGCCUGCCCGGUGCUGGAAGGUUAAAAGGAGGAGUCAGCGCAAGCGAAGCUCCGAAUUGAAGCCCCAGUAAACGGCGGCCGUAACUAUAACGGUCCUAAGGUAGCGAAAUUCCUUGUCGGGUAAGUUCCGACCUGCACGAAUGGUGUAAUGAUCCGGACGCUGUCUCAACCAUGAGCUCAGUGAAAUUGUAGUAUCGGUGAAGAUGCCGAUUACCCGCGAUGGGACGAAAAGACCCCGUGAACCUUUACUAUAGCUUAUCAUUGAAUCUGGGCACGUGAUGUGUAGGAUAGGUCGGAGGCUUUGAAGCAGGUACGCCAGUAUUUGUGGAGCCGCUGUUGAAAUACGACCCUUUAUUUGUUUGGAUUCUAACCCGUGGAUACGGGGACAUUGAUUGGUGGGUAGUUUGACUGGGGUGGUCGCCUCCAAAAGCGUAACGGAGGCUUCUAAAGGUGCCC